rnacentral:tRNA from 1 species
CAGAAUGUAGCGCAGUUGGUAGCGUACCUGUUUUGGGAAUAGGGGGUCGUAUGUUCGAAUCAUGCCAUUCUGA